AUUGAACGCUGGCGGCAGGCCUAACACAUGCAAGUCGAGCGGAUGAAGGGUGCUUGCUCCUGGAUUCAGCGGCGGACGGGUGAGUAAUGCCUAGGAAUCUGCCUGGUAGUGGGGGAUAACGUCCGGAAACGGGCGCUAAUACCGCAUACGUCCUGAGGGAGAAAGUGGGGGUUCUUCGGACCUCACGCUAUCAGAUGAGCCUAGGUCGGCUUAGCUAGUUGGUGGGGUAAAGGCCUACAAAGGCGACGAUCCGUAACUGGUCUGAGAGGAUGAUCAGUCACACUAGAACGGAGACACGGUCCAGACUCCUACGGGAGGCAGCAGUGGGGAAUAGUGGACAAUGGGCGAAAGCCUGAUCCAGCCAUGCCGCGUGUGUGAAGAAGGUCUUCGGAUUGUAAAGCACUCUAAGUUGGGAGGAAGGGCAGUAAGUUAAGACCUUGCUGAUUUGACGUUACCAACAGAAUAAGCACCGGCUAACUUCGUG
rnacentral:rRNA from 1 species